UAGGGAAUAUUGCAAAAUGGGCGAAAGCCCGAUGCAGCAACGCCGCGUGGGCGAUGAAGGCCUUCGGGUCGUAAAGCCCUUUUUGAGGGGAUGAGGAAGGACAGUACCCUCAGAAUAAGCCUCGGCUAACUACGUGCCAGCAGCCGCGGUAAAACGUAGGAGGCGAGCGUUAUCCGGAUUUACUGGGCGUAAAGCGCGUGCAGGCGGAUUGGAGAGUUGGAUGUGAAAGCUCCCGGCUUAACUGGGAGAGGUCGUUCAAUACUUCCAGUCUUGAGUGCAGUAGAGGGAAGUGGAAUUCCGGGUGUAGUGGUGAAAUGCGUAGAUAUCCGGAGGAACACCAGUGGCGAAAGCGGCUUCCUGGACUGUAACUGACGCUCAGACGCGAAAGCUAGGGUAGCGAACG
rnacentral:rRNA from 1 species